rnacentral:rRNA from 1 species
UGGGGAAUUUUGGACAAUGGGCGAAAGCCUGAUCCAGCAAUGCCGCGUGUGUGAAGAAGGCCUUCGGGUUGUAAAGCACUUUUGUCCGGAAAGAAAUCCUUGGCUCUAAUACAGUCGGGGGAUGACGGUACCGGAAGAAUAAGCACCGGCUAACUACGUGCCAGCAGCCGCGGUAAUACGUAGGGUGCAAGCGUUAAUCGGAAUUACUGGGCGUAAAGCGUGCGCAGGCGGUUUGCUAAGACCGAUGUGAAAUCCCCGGGCUCAACCUGGGAACUGCAUUGGUGACUGGCAGGCUAGAGUAUGGCAGAGGGGGGUAGAAUUCCACGUGUAGCAGUGAAAUGCGUAGAGAUGUGGAGGAAUACCGAUGGCGAAGGCAGCCCCCUGGGCCAAUACUGACGCUCAUGCACGAAAGCGUGGGGAGCAAACAGGAUUAGAUACCCUGGUAGUCCACGCCCUAAACGAUGUCAACUAGUUGUUGGGGAUUCAUUUCCUUAGUAACGUAAGCUAACGCGUGAAGUUGACCGCCUGGGGAGUACGGUCGCAAGAUUAAAACUUAAAGGAAUUGACGGGGUCAUAGCUGUUUCCU